CUACGGGGGGCUGCAGUGGGGGAUAUUGCACAAUGGGGGAAACCCUGAUGCAGCAACGCCGCGUGAAGGAAGACGGUUUUCGGAUUGUAAACUUCUAUCAGCAGGGAAGAAAAUGACGGUACCUGACUAAGAAGCCCCGGCUAACUACGUGCCAGCAGCCGCGGUAAUACGUAGGGGGCAAGCGUUAUCCGGAAUUACUGGGUGUAAAGGGUACGUAGGCAGCUGAUCAAGUCAGAUGUGAAAGCCCGGAGCUCAACUCCGGGACUGCAUUUGAAACUGGUCGGCUAGAGUGCAGGAGAGGAAAGUGGAAUUCCUAGUGUAGCGGUGAAAUGCGUAGAUAUUAGGAAGAACACCAGUGGCGAAGGCGGCUUUCUGGACUGUAACUGACGCUGAGGUACGAAAGCGUGGGGAGCGAACAGGAUUAGAUACCCGCGUAGUC
rnacentral:rRNA from 1 species